rnacentral:rRNA from 1 species
UACGUAGGCAGCGAGCGUUGUUCGGAAUUACUGGGCGUAAAGAGUGUGUAGGCGGUGCUCUAAGUUCGGUGUGAAAUCUCCCGGCUCAACUGGGAGGGUGGUCGCGAGACGGCAGGGCUUGAGGCUCGGUGAGGGGCGUGGAAUUCCGGGUGGAGCGGUGAAAUGCGUAGAGAUCCGGAGGAACACCAACGGCGUAGGCAGCGCCCUAGACGAGACCUGACGCUCAGGCACGAAAGCGCGGGGAGCGAACAGG